CAGCUUCCACUGAGGAAGUGAGAAGUUUCAAACUGAUCCAGACGCAAUAGAAUUAUAUACUUUCAAAGCCAUCAGCAAAGCUUGAACUACUUUCUAUUUUACAUAUUUUUUCUUCUGAGGUUCAAAAUGCCAGCAGCACCACCUCGCCAUCCAUCUGGGAUCCAAAUCCUUUGUUGAGCAGAGGGCUGCGUACGUGUCUCAAGCAGACACUGGCUCUCAGCAGUUAAAUGCUUUGGGAUGCAACUGAACUAGGCUUUUCAGCUGGACUGUGUUUGAACGAAUGAAAAUCAUGUAGAAGUUCUGCUUCCUCCUGUGUACUCUUGUGGACCUAGAAAUGGAGUCAGCUUCUUCCUCAUGGAAAUAAAGAAUGUCACCACCAUGAAUGUCCAUUGGCAAACUGGCUGAGAAAGAGUGUCACAGUGCAGGACAACCUAGAAGAUGACAGGCACAGAAAUGUUGGACUGGACUCAAAGCCAAUGAGG